ACGGAGUGUGAGUACGAAGUGACUGAUUAACUCCCCCUGGGGGGGCAGGGGCAGGGGCAGUCACAGAAGUUUUCACAAGAGAGAGAGUGACGCUGUCGAAGUAAGUCUUCAAGGAACUGCAGGGUUGUGCCAGGUAGGAAGGGGGAAAGGGCAUUCAGGAACAACCUGUGGCUAAGGGUGACUGAGACGGAAGAUUCGUGAGUCGAUGAGGCCACAGAGGGACUGGGGGCAGACGGUGAGGGCCGGGCACAAGCACCAGCUGGAAACCUAACAGCAGCCCGCUCAGGGCCAGCUCUGGAAGUGAGUGGCCACGUCCACGUCCACGGCAGGAGAGCAGGUGGGCCGGGGCUGGGAGAUCCUGCCAGAUGGGGAAGGACUCCGUGGAGGCCACGGGGCCAGGUGCCACGAGGAACGGAAGAGGUUCCACAAGAAGACAAAACUCGGGAAGAGUCCAUGCAGCCGUAGUCCACUGUCUCUAGGGCAUCACACGAGAAAAGAGAGCGGUAAUGACAUAUGCCGAGGACAGGGCGGCUACCGUGCAGGCGACCGCAGACAUGCUGCCCAGAGCUUCUGGAUCCCCCGUCCUACGACCUCUGGCCUCUAAACCCGCCGCCUGAGGACAGGAGCUCUUGAGCUGCACAGGGCAGCCCGGGGAAGCUUCAACGAAAGGGCCUGGCUAAGGCUUGGCAGGGACACUGCGAGGCCCAGGCUGGCACGAGAAAAGGUUUCUGUCCCAGGAUUUUAUAGACUGUUACCAUCGGACCUUCUCACGAUUUUACUCAGCAUCACCAGAACACUUCAAAUGGAGGAAAAAAGAAUACAUGGAAAUAAAAUGCUGUGCAUCUGGGAGAAGAUAAAGGACAGAGGCGAAAUGUAACGGAUGUUGUAAGUACAGAAAAGAGCCUUUGGUUUAAAAAAAAAAAAAAAAAAGAAUGGUCUCCGCAAAUUUAUGAAUGAUGCUCUGAAGUUUAAAGUUUAAAAAAAAAAAAAAAAAAAAAAGACCCAAGAGACCAGAAUAGCUCUAACGGAGUCUGAAGCAAAGACAAUGUGGAAGAAGGGAAAGACAGUAAAAAUAGGAAAGGUAAAUUUCUGACUAUAGCCCACAUUAAUUUGGUAAAAUAACUUUUAAUGGAUGUUUGGUCAUUAAAAAAAAAAAAUCCUGGCUGGAGGGGAUCCUACUACCUAUGGUUAAAAUAAGAAAAGUGACAAAAUAUGUCAGUUAUUAUUAACAAAGAAUUUCAAGGCUGGGCUGCCUAAAUGAAGUGCCAAAAUUAUAUGCUCUCCAGAGACCUCUGCAUGGUCUUCUGUUUGAUGAAUAUUUUUAUUCCUUACAUCGCUCUUCAGAAAGACUACUGUUGGCUAUCACCAGUUCUUUUUGGUAGACUCAAAUUUCACUCUGUAUUUACAAGUCCUGGAGACAUGCACUGAAAUAAGCCUCAUGCGAAAGAAGAUUAAAAAUAAGACACAGCGCUUAAUACUCUCAAGAUAACCACGGUUGACUGAAAAGGACGAAACAAAUCCCUAAGACGGGGCAGAAGGGAGGGACCCGGCAGGAGAUGGGAGCUGAGCUGGGCCUUGAGGAGCAGGCAGGAUGGUGAGAGGCAAAAAAAGCUAAGACGAAGUGACAACCCCAACCACCACACAAUUAAAAGCAAGCAAGGAAGGAGUUCCUACCCCGUCCAACUGUCAAAUACCAGGAACAGAUAACACUUGGGGAGGAGUGUAGACUGGUACGUCCGUAAAAUACAAUUUAGUGGUACGGAUAUCAAGGCUUUUAAAUGUUCACGUUCUUUGAUUCAACAGUUCAAGUUACAUGCACAUCUCAAAGAAAAAUCAUGGGAAAAAAAUCAUGGUAUUUUG